AAAUUGAAGAGUUUGAUCAUGGCUCAGAUUGAACGCUGGCGGCAGGCCUAACACAUGCAAGUCGAACGGUAACAGGAAGCAGCUUGCUGCUUCGCUGACGAGUGGCGGACGGGUGAGUAAUGUCUGGGAAACUGCCUGAUGGAGGGGGAUAACUACUGGAAACGGUAGCUAAUACCGCAUAACGUCGCAAGACCAAAGAGGGGGACCUUCGGGCCUCUUGCC
rnacentral:rRNA from 1 species